rnacentral:rRNA from 1 species
GACGAACGCUGGCGGCGUGCUUAACACAUGCAAGUCGAACGGAAAGGCCCUGCUUUUGUGGGGUGCUCGAGUGGCGAACGGGUGAGUAACACGUGAGUAACCUGCCCUUGACUUUGGGAUAACUUCAGGAAACUGGGGCUAAUACCGGAUAGGAGCUCCUGCUGCAUGGUGGGGGUUGGAAAGUUUCGGCGGUUGGGGAUGGACUCGCGGCUUAUCAGCUUGUUGGUGGGGUAGUGGCUUACCAAGGCUUUGACGGGUAGCCGGCCUGAGAGGGUGACCGGCCACAUUGGGACUGAGAUACGGCCCAGACUCCUACGGGAGGCAGCAGUGGGGAAUAUUGCACAAUGGGCGGAAGCCUGAUGCAGCAACGCCGCGUGCGGGAUGACGGCCUUCGGGUUGUAAACCGCUUUCGCCUGUGACGAAGCGUGAGUGACGGUAAUGGGUAAAGAAGCACCGGAUAACUACGG